CCUACGGGGAGCAGCAGUGGGGAAUUUUGGACAAUGGGCGCAAGCCUGAUCCAGCCAUGCCGCGUGAGUGAAGAAGGCCUUCGGGUUGUAAAGCUCUUUCGCCAGGAAAGAAAUCGUGCAUGUUAAUACCCGGCGGGGAUGACGGUACCUGAAUAAUAAGCACCGGCUAACUUCGUGCCAGCAGCCGCGGUAAUACGUAGGGUGCAAGCGUUAAUCGGAAUUACUGGGCGUAAAGCGAGCGCAGGCGGUUUUGUAAGUCAGAUGUGAAAGCCCCGGGCUCAACCUGGGAACUGCGUUUGAGACUGCAAGGCUAGAGUGCGGUAGAGGGAGGUGGAAUUCCUGGUGUAGCAGUGAAAUGCGUAGAGAUCUGGAGGAACAUCCAUGGCGAAGGCAGCCUCCUGGCCCAGCACUGACGCUCAGGCUCGAAAGCGUGGGGAGCAAACAGGAUUAGAUACCCUGGUAGUCCACGCCCUAAACGAUGCCAACUAGAUGUUGGUGUCAGUCAAAUCCUCAGUAUCGCAGCUAACGC
rnacentral:rRNA from 1 species